UGCUCCAUAGUGGAUAUGUCCUGGAAUGGUAUAUCCUCGAAAGAUCCGUCGCCUUAGGAUGGGACUGCGUCCGAUUAGGUUGUUGGCGGGGUAACGGCCCACCAAGCCUUUUAUCGGUACGGGUUGUGGGAGCAAGAUCCCGGAGAUGGAUUCUGAGACAUGAAUCCAGGCCCUACGGGGCGCAGCAGGCGCGCAAACUUUACAAUGCGAGCAAUCGUGAUAAGGAAACCCUGAGUGCCUGUCGAUGCAGGCUGUUCAUAUAUCUAAAUCAUAUGUGAAGAAAGGGCAGGGCAAGACCGGUGCCAGCCGCCGCGGUAAUACCGGCUGCUCGAGUGAUGGCCACUAUUACUGGGUUUAAAGCGUCCGUAGCUUGACUGUUAGGUCUCUUGGGAAAUCUUCGCGCUCAACGUGAAGGCGUCUAAGAGAUACCGGCAGUCUUGGAACUGGGAGAGGUAAACCGUACUUCGGGGGUAGGAGUGAAAUCUUGUAAUCCUCGAGGGACGACCUAUGGCGAAGGCAGUUUACCAGAACAGCUUCGACAGUGAGGGACGAAAGCUGGGGGAGCAAACGGGAUUAGAUACCCCGGUAGUCCCAGCCGUAAACAAUGUGCGUUAGGUGUGUCGGUAACCACGUGUUACUGAUGCGCCGAAGAGAAAUCGUGAAACGCACCACCUGGGAAGUACGGUCGCAAGGCUGAAACUUAAAGGAAUUGGCGGGGGAGCACCACAACAGGUGGAGCCUGCGGUUUAAUUG
rnacentral:rRNA from 1 species